CGGGUGAGUAACACGUAUCCAACCUGCCGUCUACUCUUGGACAGCCUUCUGAAAGGAAGAUUAAUACAAGAUGGCAUCAUGAGUCCGCAUGUUCACAUGAUUAAAGGUAUUCCGGUAGACGAUGGGGAUGCGUUCCAUUAGAUAGUAGGCGGGGUAACGGCCCACCAAGGCGACGAUCAGUAGCCGGUCUGAGAGGAUGAACGGCCACACUGGAACUGAGACACGGUCCAGACUCCUACGGGAGGCAGCAUG
rnacentral:rRNA from 1 species